rnacentral:lncRNA from 1 species
AAAUCCUGACCGUUGGAUCUGAUUCCACUAAUCCCCCACCACCUAAAAAAAGCCCUAACACCAAUUCCAUCAAGCCCAGCAAUACGAUUCUCUACAAUUUUACCAGUGACUUUUUUAGAGUAGGUAGCCAAGUAGUUGUCCGGAGGCAGCGUGAUGCGACACGUGUCGUCUAGCUUCAGCACGAAGUCUCCCGAAGUACGGUUGAGAUCGUAAGUUUGGAGGUUGGCAGGGAGUAAGCCUACGGGGAAGCCAUACUCGAGUAGCUCCGCGUGUGCUGCGGUUAAAGUGGGGUUUGGAGAGGAAACGGCGACGUUGCGGAGGAUGCAGGCGGUAAUGGUGAAGAUCAAGAGAGGUUUCGCGGCCAUGGCUAUGGGUGGUGUGUGCCAAUUCUCACUCCUGUAAAAAGUUGUUUGCUACCUCUGGCCUGUCAACAGGAUGAUGAGGAAUUAAUGAAUGAAUAUUCUAGCCUGGCGGUUAGGUUCUGUUUGGUUUGGGUUAGGAAGAAAAACGAUUUUUUUCUUUCUUUUACCAGGGAAGAAAAAAAAGGUCAAAUUUGCUAUUACCAAUCUUUAAAAUUGAAAAUUGGUCGGGAUCAAUAGCUAAGAACUGAAACUUGUGAGUAUGAAAAUCAAUUAAAAAUCCCUGAUUUGAUCCGUGCAAAUAUAGAACUUUUAUUUUUCUUUUCCUUUAUCUAACGGUCAUUGAUAUAUUAUUCAAUAGUAUUUAGCAAUUAGAAUAAGAUACAAAAUCCGAGUAAAAAAAAAGUGGAUAUGAUUACAAUUCACUGAUUAUGUGCAUAUUAAUAUGUAAUAUCAAUGUGCAUCUACAUAAAUUAUAAUCCUAGUUAUAUAUAACAUGUGUUCAACAAGGAGAAACGUUUGAUCGCACUCAUAUGUUAAUUUGAUUCAGCAAUUAGUCACCGAAUAAAAAGCCUAUGAAGACCCAAAUGUCCAUAGUUAGUAUUUGGCAAUAAAUGGGAAAAUCUGAUGGAUGUUAAAGGGUAACAAUUAAUAUCAAAUAAAAAUCCAAUAUUGUAGAAAUAUGUAUGAAAUCUGAUGGUUAAUUCAAUAAGGUUAGAUUGAGAUAUCUAUAAUUCAUUUGGGAUGACAAGCUAAGUUUAUUACUCCAUAUGUUCUCAAACAGCAACCGAUCUUCACCUAUAAGAUGCUAUAGGCAUAUUAUUUUGCAUGCAAUGUUUUUCUUUAUCUAUUACUCAUCUCGUUGCCCACUUCUUUUUGGUCAAUUUAUAAAAAAUUUAAAAAAAAUAAAAAGAAAUGAUAAUUAUUAUUUAGACAUAAAUAUAUGUGUUUGCAAAUUCUAUAUUAAUGCCAUAUUAAGUAUUGCACUAAGUUUUUUUUUAUUUUUCGAUGGGCUUAUUUGUUUUUUUAUAGGUGAGUUUAUUUGUCAUAAAAAGCGUAAUGUUCUUACGAAAUUAUCAAAGCCAGAUAUAGGCGAGGAGAUAUAGUCCAUUUUCAUUUUUCAAGCCAUCUCAUAAUGUAAAAAUUAAUGUGUAAAAAUAAGUUCAUGGGAUCAAAAGAAGUCCCUUUAUAGAAGUAACAAAGCACUAACAAUCAUUUGCCAACGUAGUUGAUCUAAAGGGCCUUUUUUUCAUAUCUUUCUACUCAAACAAACGCUGCCUUAGAGAACUCGUCGGUAAUUUUGGAUGCUGUGCUGCCUCAAGAAGUGCGUCGGCCAUGCAUUUUUUUCCUGUGAUUACGAUGUCGUCUAAGGCAUAUGUGGGCAUGGAGUUGUACUGACAUGAAAGUGAUGGAUUUGACUGCAACGUGGUCGUGCUGAAAUAUCUACAACCCUUACGAAUAUAUAUGAAAGGUGGAGUAACGUACAGCGAGACUUCAUGAUUUACUUACAGCGAGUGAUGAACGGUCGAGAUAGCUUGACAUACAGUGACUAGAAAACGACGGCUCUAUUUGAAUUGGCCUUUUUUUUAAAUAAAAUUUUUAAAUAUAAUAUUAUAAUAAUAUACAAUAACACAAAAAACACCUCAAUUAUAUAAUAUAUCAAAAUUUUUAAAAAUUUUUUUAUAUACAUUGCUACAAUAAAUUUUUUCCAAAAAUAUAUCAAAAAAUAGUUAAUCCAAACAAAGUAUUUAAGCGAAAAAUUUUGAAGGCGCGCUAUUACACGCAAAAGACGUCCGCACCUUUUUGAACAUUAAUUUGAUGAUAACGGUUCUGCAUAAUUACGCCUAUAUAAGGAAUACUGGAACAGAGGACUGUGGGAAGGCGGAUUGAGAGCUUAAUUAAUAUGGCCCAAUAUAAAGUCUCGGCCAAGGUUGAAGAUGUUUAUUUUUUAUGACAACUACUCUUCCAAGGCCAUAUCAGGGCUUCAAACCUCUGUUUUUAAAUUUGGAUCGGACCGGCCGGUCUAACUGGUCGAACCGAAAAUUAGCCAACUAUCUGGUCCAAGUUAACCUUAAAAAUCGGAAAAAUAAGAAUUCGAUCAAAUCAAGUCAAAAAUCGGAUUUGACCGGAUUGGAAACCGAAAAAAAUGAAGAGCUGGGUCUCUUUUUUUGAAAGGUCAAAAUAUUUUUAAUAUUAUGUUUGGGUAAAAAACAAAAAAACCCCCUGUGGUAAAUCUAAUACACAGAAAAGCCUCCUAUGGUUUCAAAAUAUACAACACGAUACCUCAUGCUUUGAACUAAAUUGUAAAGGUGACGGAAUCCGUUAAACUUAACGGAAAUGACUUAUUGGAACCUUAAAAAAAAAUUUAUACCUAAUUUUUAUGAAAUAUACCUAUUCUACCCCUUAACUCUCAAUUUUCUCUAUUUAGAAAAUAAAACAAAUGAUUUUUUGAGCUGUCUUUUGCUUAAUUAUAUCAGGACAUUUUGGUCAUUUUGUCCAUUUCCGUUAUAAAACCCCAUUUAUGAAUCGACUAUCGGAUUGAACGCAUAAUUAUGUGGUAUUUCGUAAAAGGGUUUCGGUAUAAAGAAUUGGAAUAAACCUCAUAAUCAUUGUUUAAAUUACUACUAUUGGAAUUAAAAUUUUGGAGUUAUAUCUAAAAAUGCAAUGGCAUUUCCCAAUUCCCUAGUAACUUGGAAGGUUUGGAUAAAAGCUAAGCUUGAUUCCCUUUUAGAAACGAGCCCGUCUCGCUACUCGUUAAAAAAAUUAAUAUAUAAUAAAUAUAAAUGUAAUUAUAUUUAUAAUUAUUAAAUACACAUAUAAUAUAUUUAAAAUUGUCCCAAAAUCAUCCACCCAAGUUCAAAUUAACCCCCAUCAUUGUGUGCACCGGCACCAUACAGCCAAACCUGCAACUCUACGAGCCCCCAAUCCAUGGGAACACAGUUCCACUGCUUUGUGCCAGAAAAUGCGGCUUAGCUUCACUAAAAGUUAUAAAGUACUUAUAUAUUAUUUUAAAUAGCAUCUAAUAUAACAGGAUCCAUCCAUAAAACCAAUAUUAAAAUCCUAGAACAUGACAGAACAAUGCACGUCCUACUAUAAACAACUGAGAAAGCUCCAAUUACAGUGUUUCUUAGUGCAAUAAUCCACACCAUUCCCUCACUCAGGAAGCCAUUAGGAAAACAUGCUAUCAGUCAAGGGUAAUGAUGCCAACCGAUCAGCAACAUGGCUUGAAAGCUCUUCAAUCAAAACAUUCCCCAUGGGCGGCAAUGCAUCUGUCCCACAAUCAGUAAACGCACCAGCAGCAUCCACUUUCGCAAUCUGCUGCAGCAAUUUUCCCUGCACCAUAUGAAUUUGAUUCCCUUGCUCAAACACAAGAUUUUGAAUGUUUUUAAAAAAUUAUCUAUAAUUUUGCCCACUAAUUCCUGCUUCACCCUCCUUGUCAUUCUCAAGCUAGAGGAACACACAGAACUUAUUUUGAACCCUCCAACUCAACUCUUCUUCUAAUUUCUUUAAAGUGGUUUCUUCCAUGUUCCAUCUAAUGACCAAGAAUAUGCAGAAGAUGCUAUUCAACAUUUUGGCAAGAAUUGAGUAAAAGGACAUGCAUGUAUCUUGUCAUACAAAAGCUCUACCUUUUUCACCUUUUCUCUCUUACUACAUGAGGCUGCCUGAUGAUGAAAGGGUGGUUCAGUAACAGCAACAACUUCGACUUUUACAGACCAAGAAAUAAUUAGCAAAAUUCACUGUCAACGGAGUAUUCUCCUCCAUUCUUUUAGACUUUUCCGUUAGUGUGAUUCUAUCCGAUGAUUUUGCAUUGCAAUGAAUUGCAAAAAAAGAAAUCAUUGGCUCGACAAAGUAUAUGUUGAACCUUUAACUUCUACAAGAAUAUUUCCAAGAGAAAUUUGGAUUUGUGUUCCAAACAAUUUAAGGUAAAAAAAGAAAUUAGAAUAAAGAGAGACAUUCACCAGACUUUCAGAAUACAGCACUUACUAUUGCAAGGAAAAGAAAAGGAAUCCAUACACGAUCACAUAGAUGCGUGAUUUUCAGUCAACAAAGAGACAGGAUACAGACCUUGCUUGCACCCGUGUUUAUCUGUUGAGCAAGCACAUUCCGAACAGCACAAACCACGUCAGCUGCAUCUUGUGAAUAACCAUCACAGGGUUUUGCACUGUCCAGCCCAAAAAUUUUCUUCUCAGGGUCUAGAUAAUAAGGGUCCACACGCAGGCUCACUCCAAGCGCUUCAUAGCCAUUCAUCUCCUCAAUAGCUGCUCGACAAGGUUCAUCACUGUCAAAUUGAACAAAGCCAUAGUCGGCUGAUUGACCAUCAGGACGUCUUGGGAUAUUGAUAUACCAAAUCUUUCCGUAUUUGAAAAAUAGGAAUUCCAAAAGUUCAAUGUCAGCCCAGUCUGGCAAGUUCUGCAAAAAGGUGAGGAUUAAGAAAGAAAAAAAAAAGAAGGGCAAAGCAAUUCCAAGAAAUAGUUAGAAAAACUCACAAAGGCUACAAAGUUUUGAAAAAGUAAAAGAAAUAAAAAAAGGAAAGUACAGUACCCUCACAAACAACGUGUCAGGAACCAGCCCAGUCAUUUUAGUACAUGGAUGACAAUCCAUCAUUUGGAUAGGCCUUCCGUGGAGGGUAGCAGAGGCCAGCUUGUUCAUUGCCAAAUCAGCUGUCAUCAUUAUGGUAAAACAGUAGGGAAAAAAUAAUUACACAUAGCACUUUGAAGGAUUGGAAUAAAACUAAAUACUAUGACAAAAACAUGCUUUGCUAUUGCAAGCAAUCUCUUAUGCUUUUGAAGAGAAUUGCAAAAUGAAACAUAAUAUAAAAGCAAAGCACGGAUCUGAACUGCAAAUAGGAAAACAAUAUUCAAGCAAAAAAGCCAUGGUCGAUAAGCUGCAUAUGGAAUAAAUAUCUUUUUAGAGCCGUUCUUUCAUACCUUAAAUCAAUCCUUAUGUUAAAAUGGAAGAAAACAAGGAAAGUGGGAAUGCACAAGCUCCGAAGGGGAUUAAGAAGGCGAGGAUUGAACUCUCGUUCCAAUGGACCAGGCGAUAUUCAAUAAAACAGAAGCCACAUUGAACCCACCCCGCACACAAUAAUUGGUUCCCACACGUCAAAAUAAUGUUGUAACAGUUAUCAUAGAUGAUAUAUUUUGGUUAAAUGAAAAAUGCUCCUUAUACGUUAACCAUUGAUCACCUUGAUCAAGGAUCUCUCUGACAAGGGGAAAAAAAACUUCAAUUGCCAUGUGAUCCCAUUCUAAGGAGGCACCACUGAAAGAAGAAACUUAAAUAUUUCAUCACUCUUAGAUACUGAGUCAAAAGACAGACACUUGCAUGACAACAAAUUCCUGGCACGUACUAAAUCAAGGAAGAUCCCAACUACAGCUCGCCUAUAUGCAAGAAUAAUCGGGAAUCUUUUCCAAUUUCUGACUUCAAAAAGAGAAACAGGUAUUCGCUCUUCAACAAAAGUCCUAGUACGAUAAUCCAUUCCUCAAAAAUCAUAAUCUAUUUCCACAAACGACAGACAUGGUUCAACAGUUGGCAAUCACUCGUUCAUGACACAAUUGGUCUGCUUUAAAAACGCCAAAAAAAGGGGGGAAAGGGUUAAACAGAAGUUUAUCUAAAUAGAUUUGCAACAAGAGACAUGAACAAUUAGAAAUUCCUCAAUGGCCAACCUUAUAAUGAAUUUUGCAACUACAGAUAUGAAUCACACGAAGCAGCUAUAAAGCAAAGGAAAACAAUUUCAUCAACAGCUGGAUGUCAACAAAACUGACCAUGUUCUUUCUUCGCAAAGGAAACCAGGGCAUAGCGGCCAAUUAUGGAGUCACAGAGAAUCUCAGUCCUAAUCGCGACACACACGCGGAAGAGGCGAUGAACAUCCGCUCCCGUCACGGUAUCGGCCAAAGUCCAAACAUAAAGCAUCGGCAGCCCAGAACCAGCCGAUCGAAGACUACUCAUCUUCUGCUGCACUCGAUCUCCUCCCCGAUAUCUACUCGGUUGGUUUGUGUACUCGUUUUGAACCAAUUCCUAAUUCUCUCGCUUCUAUUCUUCUACAGGAUUCCUUUUCUAUGUUAGUACGCUGUUUUGGGGUUCGACUUGAGUUAUAGGAAAAACGGGAAUUGAGCUUCAAAAUCAUAUAAAAUGUUCAGCGAAUGUUAAAGUCUCAUGGCAUACGGCCUUUUAAUCUUCCACCUACAGUGGCUAAGAGUUAACAAGGGUCCCCCCAGGCCCAAAAAAAUGGCCUUUUAAUCUUGUACCAGCAGUUGCUGAGCAUUAAGAAGGGUCCCCGAGGCCCGUAAAAUCAAUCCCAGUGAUGCAUAAAGUACAAUCUUAAUUGUUUUGAUGAUCCGUAGGGACCUUCACGCAUGCAGGACACGAGCCUCUCGGGUUUCCAACAAUAAUUAAACAAACAAAUCUUCCAAUAUAUAAAGGGGUUAGUCAAGACUUAAGAAAUUGGGGGUCUUUUUCCUACCAGAAAAAAAUUUAAGAAUUGGAACCACGUUAUCUCAUACAGUAAAAAUGAAUGUUAAAAAAAAUUCAUGUGAUCAAAAGAAGUCUCUUUCGAAGAAAAGCACUAAUAUUUGUCACAUUAAAGAGAGCACUAAUAUUUGUCAAAAGUAGUUGAUCUAAAGCAUUUUUCACAUUUUUAUACUCCAACAAACGCAGCUUAAGAGAACUUGUCAGUAACUUGGAUGUUCUCUUAACUCUCGAGAAGUGCGUCGUCAGCCAUGCAUUUUUUUCCCUUGACUACGAUGAGAGUGUUUGGAUAGAAAAUUAUUUAAAAUAUUAUUUAAAAUUAUAAUUAUAGUAUAUUUUGUGAUGUGAUAUACAUAAAUAAAAAAAUAAUUAAAAAAAAUAUGUUAAAUAUUGUACUUGUGAUAUAAGCAAAUAAUUUUUCCAUGUGAGAGCUAAGAGAAGGAAAAAAAAUGGAGUGAUGUGUGUGUAGUGGAAGUGGCGUGAGUGAGCCAAGAGGCAUGCUGGAAGUUUUUUUUAUUUUUUUUGGGAAAGAGGAGGGUCGAGAGAGGGAAUUGAGAGGGGAAAAUUGGAGUCUUGUUUUUUUUGUGUGGCUUGAGAGAAAAAGAAGAAGACCAGAGAGAGCCUCGAGUGGUUUUCUUUUUGUUGCGUCUGUCCUCUCUAAAAGAAGAAGCCAGGCCGAGAGAUGGUUGGGAGUGAAGAGUGCUUUUUUUUUUCUCUGUCUUUGUGCCUUGGUCCUCUUGGACAAUAAGAGACCGUGAGAUUGUCCAAAAGAGUCAGUGGAAUUUGGUUGCCAAAAAAUGAUUAUCUUCACCAAAUGACAAGAAGGAUCCAUGAGAUAAUAUGAUGGAUUUUUUACCGGAAUGAGAAGAAAGAUCAAUGAGGAUGGAGUGUAAAAAUGGGUUAAUAGUAGUUUUGGUGAAACAAAAAUGAUUACAGAAAAUUUUUUCCGUAAAUAAGCACAUAGUAUUAAACAAAUAAAGUAGCUGAUCACAGACUAAAGAAACUAAAACCAAACCAGAAUCAAUUAUUCAAGCAGACAUGAAUUCUUGCAAGCCAGAAUGCACACAUAUCAGUACAAUCAAGACACUAAAUUUUCAAAAUCGAUGCAUUUUUCUUUUCAAUACCUUGUUAAGAAGAAGAACGCUUGCCUUCACAUUCAAGACUUUCAUCGAAAUCCUUAGAUGGAAAACUUUUGGUGAUGUAGCCAACCUCAAAGGUCAAAUCCUGACCGUUGGAUCUGAUUCCACUAAUCCGCCACCACCUAAAAAAAGCCCUAACACCAAUUCCAUCAAGCCCAGCAAUACGAUUCUCUACAAUUUUACCAGUGACUUUUUUGGAGUAGGUAGCCAAGUAGUUGUCCGGAGGCAGCGUUAUGCGACACGUGUCGUCUAGCUUCAGCACGAAGUCUCCCGAAGUACGGUUGAGAUCGUAGGCUUGGAGGUUGGCAGGGAGUAAGCCUACGGGGAAGCCAUACUCGAGUAGCUCCGCGUGUGCAGCGGUUAAAGUGGAGUUUGGCGAGGAAACGGCGACGUUGCGGAGGAUGCAGGCGGUAAUGGUGAAGAUCAAGAGAGGUUUCGCGGCCAUGGCUAUGGGUGGUGGCGGUGCGUGCCAAUUCUCACUCCUGUAAAAAGUUGUUUGCUACCUCUUGACUGUCAACAGGAUGAGG